GUGCACGCAUAUACCGUGUUCUCCUGGUUGCCCUCCAUAUUGCAAGUGCGGAGGAGCUAAGACAAACAACUAUUGCGCUGAACUGUAGUACUCAAUAAAACGGUGCUUGAUUCAUCGUCCACCGGAAUAAACUAAAAAAAAAGCUCAA
rnacentral:lncRNA from 1 species